rnacentral:rRNA from 1 species
AAAAACAUUGCUUUAUGGCCACCCGUAUAAAGUACGCCCUGCCCGGUGAGCUACGCGCUUAAACGGCCGCGGUACCAUGACCGUGCAAAGGUAGCAUAAUCAUUUGCCUUUUAAUUGUAGGCUAGGAUGAAUGGGUAAACGAAGGAGUGCUUGUCUCUUUUUUUAAAAUUUAAAUUAACCCUCAGGUGAAGAUGCCUGAAUAACAUAAAAAGACAAAAAGACCCUAUUGAGUUUUAUACACAAACUGAUAUACCAAUAACAUGCUUAUAAAGGCAUAUACACUUUUCUAUUUAGUUGGGGCAACUAAGGAACACCUAGACCUUCCUUCACCUUAUAAGAUAUUAAUCAUUAGAUCCACAUUAUGUGAACAGAGAACAACACUACCAUAGGGAUAACAGGCUAAUUUCUUCAGAGAGUUCAUAUUGACGAAGAAGUUUGGCACCUCGAUGUUGGCUUAGGAUAUCCCUCCUGUGCAGCAGCAGGAAAGGUUGGUUUG